CUGUGGUUCGACCCUUCUUCCCUAUCUACAUAGUUAGUGGAUUUAGGUUUUAUUUUUUAUUAGGUGAAUACGACUUGAGCCUGUCAAAUUUUGGCGCCGUUGCCGGGGAA